CCUUAAGCUCCAACUUCAGGCGCCUCUGCUGUACGAUGCUCUUUGCUUGAGCCACAAUUUACUUACUGUUAGCUCAGCAGUGGACACUGGGGAGCUUAUAGCUGGUAACAGCUAGCAGUGGAGAAAGAAAUAGCUCUUUGGCCUGGUUUUCUCAACCCCUUCACUAGUGAGUAGACCCAGAGCAGGAAAGCUUUCUGCUCUGCUCAGAUCCCACCAUGUACAGCAUGAAGAAACUGCUCCGCUUUGACUGCAGUUAUUGAGUUUUGGCUGCUGCCCGGGGAGACUCCCUUUGAGGAGGACAGAGGCAGCUCGUUCACCAACCACAUCUCAUCCACAAUUUCUGCUCUCCUCUCCUUUCUCCCUCUAGUACUGAGCCAGCACACGUCUCCCCACUAGGAGGUAGACUGAGACCUACAAAUCGUUUCAUGUGCUACAGUUUUUAGCACAGCGUGUAUUAUGGCAUUCCUUCCUGUGGCGACUGGCCAAGGCAACGAAAUCCUGCUCUGACUAACCCUGAUGCUCCUUUUCACCUCGCUGGAACCUGUGCGCUAGCUGCUGUCUCCUGCGCCUCCUUCCUCAGACCGUUCCUCCUGCACAACAGGAAUCCUCUCAGUGCUGGAGCGGUUACUUAGUCUUCCCAGUGGCUGGGGCUUUUCAAACGCUGCUUUCGUCAACAGUUAUGCUUACCUUUGAAAAUGGUGAGAUUGAAGCAAUUGUACUGUUAAUUUUUUUGGACUGCUCUCUUGCUCUUGGGUUGUUCUUCAUUUAUGUUUUGGACUAUAUACAGCAUUCAAGUACUUUUUAAAGAAGGGAUUGCAUUGCCAUCCACGGUGUAUCUAAGGGGUAUGUGGCUGGAGGCAGUGAAUCUACCAGUACCUAAAUAACUGGCAAAUGCAGGUAAGCACGAUGGCCUUGCUGUCUUCCAGUCUUCAGAGACUGUGGGGUGAUGGCUGGGUAAUGAUAUUGAUGGGGGGAUGAGCUCAAAAAUGUGAACCUAUUUUUGCGCCAUAUGGUAAUUGUUUGAAAUUUCAGGGUUUGGAAACUUCCUUUCUUGUUUUAAGUUAAUAGUUGAUUAUAUUUCAGUAAUCUUUUUUGCCAAAUUUUUCACAUUUUUUUGAAAAGCACAUGCCUUUUUACAAAAUAGGAAUAUUGAAAACUGCAUAUGAGACACAGG
rnacentral:lncRNA from 1 species